AUAAGUUGAGUUGAGGUGUGGAUUGAAUUAUAAGUGAGUUGAGUUUCGAGGACGAAACUCUUUUUAAGAAGGGGAGGAUGUACGGUACCGGACUUCUAAAAUUAUGAAGUUACGGUGUACAUUUGGUUGGAAAGUCAUUUGAAUGGUUCCGGUGAAGUUCUAUGAAGUCAGGGAGUAUUCGGGCGUUUCGGUGCGAGUAGGCGUGAAAACGGAACCCGAAAGGCUAUGUCGGACUGUGGACUAAAUCU
rnacentral:lncRNA from 1 species